rnacentral:rRNA from 1 species
GAGGGACCUGAAGACGGUAACCGUUAAGGAGCCGUUUAGGGUAAAACUGGUAACUGGGGCU